AAGCUAAUGGUGUACUACAGGGGACUAGUACCACCAAAACCUAAGUGGUGAACAAGCUAAUGGUGUACUACGGGGGACUAGUACCACCAAAACCUAAGUGGUGAACAAGCUAAUGGUGUACUACGGGGGACUAGUACCACCAAAACCUAAGUGGUGAACAAGCUAAUGAUGUACUACAGGGGACUAGUACCAGUAUAUCUAUGAUGAUUUCAGGGGAGUAAGAACGUGCUGGAUGGAGAUCAUCUUAUUUAACCAAUCAGUGAAAGAGUUACAAAUGAAGUAAAACUGAGAUUAAUUAAAGCAGAAGAUAGCAAGUUGUGUUGAUUAUAUUGAAUAUACUUGUAAUGUAUAAUUAGUAGUAAGUAUUUCCUGGACUAUAAUGAAUAGUUAUUAAACUGUGGCUAAUACUAAACCAUUUUGUUAUUGAACAACUGCAAUAGCUUAGCUAUUAUAAAAAAAAAGUAAUAUAUAUAUAUAUAAUGUUACGUAGAAAAAGAAUAACUGAACAUUUUAUGUUUUUAAUGUUAUAGUAAUAUCUCUCGUUGAAAUUAUGCAAUAUUUGUUACAAAGUAACUGAUUUGUUUUUUGGUACUGUAAGUACGAGAAACAUGAUUUAGUAUAUAUAUGGCAAUGUUUAACCUUUCCUGUGCCGUGUUUAACAAUUAUCUUGGAGGUUUGAGACUUGUUGUUUAAACUUUUAACUGUUAGCUUUCAGAAGUCACGAGUAAGGUCAGUAGUUUACAUAAUGCUGUUUGUUUCGGUCAACUCAGACUUGUUUGUUAGUGAUUUUGAAGUCAGGUGAUAAACAGGAAUUGUCCAAGAGUCAGAUACAGGGUUUAAGAUUCUAAGAUACACAUUCAGGUUCUUGUGUGUAGUUUUAUUUUUGUCCACGUACUUGGAGUUGUUUUCAGAUAUGUUUUUAUGCCUCCUAGUCUUACAUUCUUACUGUCUUCAAAUGAGGUUUUUAUUUUCAAGACUCAGGUUGUCACACUCAAAUGAACGGACAGAUAUAAUUGUUCAGAACAAGUUAUGAAACUGUUUGAACAGUGAAUUAUUAUUUCAGUUCUUUGUAUUUAUUUCAAUUUCCACGAUAUACAUGUCCUUGUGACUUCAUAUGAGUUUUCAACAGCACAUGAAUUUGUUAAUUUGGACUUUUCUUUGUGUAAUUGGCCUAGGUUGAAUCUAGUGAUUAGCAAGUUAAUCUGAGGGGGUCCACAUCCAGUGAUUAGCAUGUUAAUCUGAGGGGGUCCACAAUUCACAUCCUCUUACAUGUUAAUCUGAGGGGGUCCACAUCCAGUGAUUAGCAUGUUAAUCUGAGAGACAAUCAAAUUCAAUUAUCUGAUUAAAGUAGCUCAAGAGUUGGUUGGGUUCACCAGCUGCCUUCUUUCUAGUCCUUCAGUUCAAUAGUUAAGGAUGAAUAUAUAUAUAUAUAGAUAGCCCUUGAUUAGCUUUAUGUAAAUAUCUGAAAAACAAGCAGAGCAUCAUUGUGGAAUUAUGUCAACAAUCUGAAUUUCUACCUACUUGUUCUGUAAUUUAGAUUUUUUUACAGAUAUUUAAAAAAAAACAUGAUAUUUUAUUUCAACCAAAUACAAUUUUUCAUUCAGAAAGAAAACUGAAACAGUCCAGUGCAUAUUUUCAGUAAUGUUUAGUGCUUUAAGCUUUUUUCUACUGCUGUUACUUACGAAGGCCAGUACUGAAAUUUUUUGUACUAGUUUUUUCAGGAACAAAAUUCACUGAAUAUCAAACUGAUAUUCUGAAUUAAGGUGGUUUAAAUAUUUUGUAACAAUUCGUAUCAUCUGAUCCAUAUUUUACACCAACUUUUGAUGCCAUGUUCUUCUGUGUAUAAAGAAAGUACACGAAGUAGAUAAAAGAAGUUGAAAACAUACAUGGAUUACUUCAGAAGAUAUUAAUGAAAGCUAUGUAAUGACCUUUUAUACAAUUCAUGGUUAAGGCAUAGCCUUCAAACGUGUUUGGAAUUCUGUAAUUAAUGGAAUUGAAGAGGAUUUUUACCCAGGUUUUUUUAAUAUAAAAAACUCCACUGAGUUAGUAUGUGUCGGACAUAUUUAUGUUUAGAAAUACUUUACUUGCCACUUCAUUGCAGAGGUAGCGUUAGUCAUUUAUCUAAAUUGUGGCACACACACACCCUUCUCCGUUUGUAUCAUCAGCAAAUGGUGUUAUACGUUUAAAAGGUAAACCCUUCUCCGUUUGUAUCAUCAGCAAAUGGUGUUAUCCGUUUAAAAGGUAAACCCUUCUCAAUUUGUAUCAUCAGCAAAUGGUGUUAUACGUUUAAAAGGUAAACCCUUCUCCGUUUGUAUCAUCAGCAAAUGGUGUUAUACGUUUAAAGGUAAGUAGAGUAGAAUAAAAAUAUAUAUACAUAAAGUUGUUUCUUUUGUCAACUAAUGAUCGAUCAAAUUUUAUAAAAACAACUGUUUUUGAUAAAUUAAAUGAAGUUGGAAAAAAAUUCAGUCAACACUUAUAAUAGAAAGUAUUAGAUCAGUAAUUCCUAGUUGUCAGUUUCUAUGGUGAUAAUACAUUUAUUGUUGGUACAAGUAACACCAUUGAAUGUUAGCUUGUCAUAAUGUAUCUUAGCAAUAGGCUAGAUGAUCACCCUUAGCAACCCGUGAGAAAUUACAACAGUAGGUCUGUAGUUAGAGCUUUGAUAUAAUAUAGCUGUAACUUGUCAGAUUCAAGUUUAAAGACAUGCAUUUAUUUAUUAUUUGUUAAACAAACCUAAACAGAUUUUAUGAAUGGAAAAUGUGGACAUUUGAUGACUGUUUGGUCGAUAUAUAUUUAUGUACGUUAUUUGGAAUGAACCUCCAUAUAUUGCAUUACUGUUUCACAUUUUUAACUUGUUAUAACGCUGUGAGUGUAAAAAUAGGUUUGGUUCAUUUCACAUUUUUUUAAUUGUCAAAAAGUUGAAUAAUCAAAAAAGCUUUAACGACUUUACAGAGUUUUUAUUAAAACUUAUUUCUAUGCAGUUAUAAUAAACACUUCAAUACAUAAAGAGAGUAACCCCUUUAAUGAAAACUAAUCAAAAUUAUAUUUAAAACAGUGUGUGAUAAUGUAAAUACCAAGUGUUCGCCUUGAUGAGUGCUAUUUUAUGAUUUGUUCAAGGAAAGAUGAUCAGCUUUUAUAAAAUGUGACACAUCGUAGCAAAAAGAAUCAAUUCAACAACCUGGUUCAGUGUUUUAUAUUCUAGACACGUUAACUGGUAUACUGCAUGCAUAUAAUGUACAAAAAAAUAAUAAUACUCCUUGCUAUAUUAUAGGACUUAGCCAGAAGACAGUUUUUAUAGUAACUAUUUAACUGGGAUUGUUGUCAUUAGAUUAGUAAAUAUUUAGAUACUUGUGUAGACUGAGAGGUUGUGAUUGUACAAUAAAAAAUAUAUUUUAGAA